UACGUAGGGUGCGAGCGUUGUCCGGAAUUAUUGGGCGUAAAGAGCUUGUAGGCGGUUUGUCGCGUCUGCUGUGAAAAUCCGGGGCUCAACCCCGGACUUGCAGUGGGUACGGGCAGACUAGAGUGUGGUAGGGGAGACUGGAAUUCCUGGUGUAGCGGUGGAAUGCGCAGAUAUCAGGAGGAACACCGAUGGCGAAGGCAGGUCUCUGGGGCCACUACUGACGCUGGAGAAGCGAAAAGCAUGGGGAGCGAACAGG
rnacentral:rRNA from 1 species